AUUCCAGCUCCAAUAGCGUAUAUUAAAAUUGUUGCCGUUAAAAAGCUCGUAGUCGAACUUCGGGCUCUGUCAGCCGGUCCGCCUUCUUGGUGUGUACUUGUUUGAUGGAGCCAUACCUCCUGGUGAAUGGCGAUGUCCUUUACUGGGUGUCGUCGCAAACCAGGACUUUUACUUUGAAAAAAUUAGAGUGUUCAAAGCAGGCCUUUGCCCGAAUACAUUAGCAUGGAAUAAUAAAAUAGGACGCGCGUUCCCAUUUUGUUGGUUUCUGAGAUCGCCGUAAUGAUUAAUAGGGAUAGUUGGGGGCAUUUGUAUUCCGUCGUCAGAGGUGAAAUUCUUGGAUUGCCGGAAGACAAACUACUGCGAAAGCAUUUGCCAAGGAUGUUUUCAUUA
rnacentral:rRNA from 1 species